UGUCCAUUUGUUCUAAACAAGAUAGGAAGAAGAGCAGGGGUGACGUUUUGAGGGAAGCCCCUAUUUUGCUCACUCCAAUAAACAACUUGGUACACAAGUUUGGUGCAUCAAUUUCUCAUAGGCCUGUUGAAGGCAUGGCAGUGCUGUUGCAAGGUUUAUGCAGAAUGACAGUGCUUUCUUUAAGUAUUGCCUGACAGAUGUUGCUACACGGAACCAUAUCUUCAAAUAAUUAUCUGAGGACUAAUUUUCUUGGUAGGAAGAGUCUUGAGGGGCUUUUCUUUUUUUCUUUUAACAUAACUUCUCAAUAUUCGUGAAACUGUACACGUUUAUACAUGGCUUGAUUAUUUAAAAUGUCUUUAAU